rnacentral:rRNA from 1 species
AUGCUUCGUUGGAUGAGCAGUAUGGACCGAUGGAGCUUGAUCAAAGGAGGAUUGGGUAUCCUCAAUUUGAACAUCCAGAACCAAGGACUGCUCAUGAAACACCUACAUAAAUUUUACAACAAGCAUGAUGUGCCUUGGAUUACUUUGGUAUGGGAUUCCUACUAUGAUAACAUUGUGCCACAGGCCACUGUACUGACUGGGUCAUUCUGGUGGAAGGAUGUUUUUAAGUUGAAUGACAUGUAUAGAGCCGUUGCAUCUGUUCACAUCAACAUGGGUGAUACAGCUUUGUUCUGGCAUGAUGCAUGGCAUCUGGCUGGUUCUUCUAUGCCUUUAGUAAGGAAGCUCCCGAGGUUGUUUUCUUUUGUUAAAGAUGAUAAAGUCUCGGUCAUGGAUGUGCUCCAAACUCAGGACCUCGUUUCCAUGUUCUAUUUGCUAAUCUGCCCAUCUCCCAGGAGGCUGCUACUGAAUUGCAUAUUCUGGAAGGUUGGCUUCUGA